rnacentral:tRNA from 1 species
GACGCUGUGGCUUAGUUGGGUCAGAGUGCCUGUCUAGUACACAGGAGUUCCUAGGUUCAAAUCUCAGCAGUGCCC